rnacentral:tRNA from 1 species
GCCUCCGUAGCUCAGGGGAUAGAGCACCGCUCUCCUAAAGCGGGUGUCGCAGGUUCGAAUCCUGCCGGGGGCGC